UCUCUAGGCCAGCAAAGCAUCAGAUCAUGGAAACAGGAAGCAGAAAUUUUGCUGGUGGGUCAUGAGAGGUGGUAGUGAGAGGUGCCAUUCCCAUUUCCACCUUUCACGUCUAGACUUGUGAAUCCUGUCACCUCCUCGGUGACACUGCCCCAACCCUAGAAGGUAUGGCCACCUGCCUGGCACUGUAACUGAGUCUUCAAAGGGACAUUCUGCUUUUCUAUCCAAUUGGCUUCUUCAGAAAGGUGCGGACAUGCUGCAUAGUUACCCUGAUAUAUACAGACAUGUCUCCGUUUGGGGAAGACCAGAAGCAAGAUUAACAGCACAGACUUUUUGGAGUGCCAGGAUCCUUCCUCAAGGUGACCCGUCCUCCCUUCAUCCAAGGGGUCCUGUGUGGGAAUUGAUUGAGAGACCCUGAUUCUCUGUUUUUAUGCUUCAGGAACGCUGUGAUAGACUAGCUGAUGCCACAGGUGCUCUGGAGUCAGUCUACUUGAUUGCUGCUUUGGCUCUGCCAUCCGUUAAGAGUAGCCAUGCCUACCUCGUCUUUGGUGGCUGAGUGCUGCCUCCUGGCCCCUGUCACCCAGGAUCUUAUGACUACAUGCCAGUAAUUAGAUCCUGCACUGCGCUGAGAUCCCACUGCUCUUAGCUGUCUGAACCCAGUGGCUGUCAUCGCCAACGGAAGUCCGGCCAUCAGAGAAGCAUGAACACAGAGCUCCUCACGGAUGCCAGGGCUCCCCGCCCAGACUUGCUUCUCACAGUCGUGGUGAAGAGUGUGGUUUCCGGGCUCUCCUACUGUGCGUGAGUAGCUCCUAAGGGACAAACCCAGUGUAACAUGUCCUUUACUGAAGAGUACGCAUGUGCAGAUCAGCGCAUUGCCGGCUCAAACAUAAGCUCUCACCGGUCGAGAAACUGGGCCUUGGUAAAUGCUCUAAUUCCUGUGUUCAAAAACUCCUGUGGAUUGCUGCAGAGGCAUCAUAUUACAUUAGAAUGACAUCAAUCAAAUCUUAUGAAACUCAAAUUUAGAAGAGUACACACUUACGACUAAUACUUGGGAUAAAAUUUUUAAACGAAAAUCUAAUCUCGGAUACCAGUUGAGACUUAGAUGACACUUUUGGACUACCAGCUUACCUUUCAGAAAAUCAAGCAAUGUUUUGCAUAGCAGAAAACAUUUAUCCCUCACAAGGCAGCCCCUUGGCCCAAUCAACGUCAGUGCAACGGUGCAGAGUACGUCCGUGCACAUGGCUAGCUCCCACCACAAGGGCACACAGUGGGCUAGCUGCCUCUACCUCGGGGCUCUCUCCAAAGCCAUGGUGCUGGUGUGUGUCCCAGGCACAGUCACUGCCAAUGAGGACUAGCAGCCAGUGCAUAAAUGCCCCAUCUUUAAAGGGUGGCUUUUAGGUGAUUUGUACAGGGCUUCUCAGAGGAUAAGACGCCAUUGCCCACAGCAAUAACCAGCUCCAUUAUGUUCCCUCUAUUGAUUUCCCGUUCGUUCCUGUCUUCUUCCCCUCAUUUUUCCUCCUUGGAAUCACCUCUCAAAUAAAGCACCUACACCCAGA